UAGGUGGCGAGCGUUAUCCGGAAUUAUUGGGCGUAAAGGGUGCGCAGGCGGCAAGAGAAGCUUAAGUUGAAAGCGUGGGGCUCAACUCCAUAAAGGCUUAGGAACUGACUUGCUGGAGUGCAGGAGAGGGCGAUGGAAUUCCAUGUGUAGCGGUAAAAUGCGUAGAGAUAUGGAGGAACACCAGUGGCGAAGGCGGUCGCCUGGCCUGUAACUGACGCUGAGGCACGAAAGCGUGGGGAGCAAA
rnacentral:rRNA from 1 species